GCAAACUUGGUCAUUUAGAGGAAGUAAAAGUCGUAACAAGGUUUCCGUAGGUGAACCUGCGGAAGGAUCAUUAAAGAUUCUGACCUUCGGGUCUAACUUUCAGCUGUGCGCUUCGGCUGCACGCUGAUAAACUUCACACACCUGUGCACAUUUCGGUCGCAAUCUUGCAUGCAAGUUUGCUUCCGCUUUAACAUAUAACUACACGUCUUGAAUGUAACAAACUAUAAAAGUAACAACUUUCAACAACGGAUCUCUUGGCUCUCGCAUCGAUGAAGAACGCAGC
rnacentral:misc_RNA from 1 species